rnacentral:rRNA from 1 species
UCGAGCGAUGGAUUGAGAGCUUGCUCUCAAGAAGUUAGCGGCGGACGGGUGAGUAACACGUGGGUAACCUGCCCAUAAGACUGGGAUAACUCCGGGAAACCGGGGCUAAUACCGGAUAACAUUUUGAACUGCAUGGUUCGAAAUUGAAAGGCGGCUUCGGCUGUCACUUAUGGAUGGACCCGCGUCGCAUUAGCUAGUUGGUGAGGUAACGGCUCACCAAGGCAACGAUGCGUAGCCGACCUGAGAGGGUGAUCGGCCACACUGGGACUGAGACACGGCCCAGACUCCUACGGGAGGCAGCAGUAGGGAAUCUUCCGCAAUGGACGAAAGUCUGACGGAGCAACGCCGCGUGAGUGAUGAAGGCUUUCGGGUCGUAAAACUCUGUUGUUAGGGAAGAACAAGUGCUAGUUGAAUAAGCUGGCACCUUGACGGUACCUAACCAGAAAGCCACGGCUAACUACGUGCCAGCAGCCGCGGUAAUACGUAGGUGGCAAGCGUUAUCCGGAAUUAUUGGGCGUAAAGCGCGCGCAGGUGGUUUCUUAAGUCUGAUGUGAAAGCCCACGGCUCAACCGUGGAGGGUCAUUGGAAACUGGGAGACU